AGACGGAGGGGGCGAGCGUUGUUCGGAAUUACUGGGCGUAAAGGGCGCGUAGGCGGCCAGCCAAGUCAGGGGUGAAAGGCCUGGGCUCAACCUGGGAACGGCCUCUGAAACUGGCGGGCUUGAGGGCGAGAGAGGAUGGCGGAAUUCCCAGUGUAGAGGUGAAAUUCGUAGAUAUUGGGAAGAACACCGGUGGCGAAGGCGGCCAUCUGGCUCGCGACUGACGCUGAGGCGCGAAAGCGUGGGGAGCAAACAGGAUUAGAAACCCCGGUAGUCC
rnacentral:rRNA from 1 species